GAGUUGGCUCCUAUGCUUGGUAGAACAUGAGAUACUUAAUCUCAAGGUCGUGGGUUUGAGCCCCAUGUUGGGCA